rnacentral:rRNA from 1 species
AGCGAACAUUGGCGGUAGGCUUAACACAUGCAAGUCGAGCGAGGCGUAAUAGUCGAGCGGCGAACGGGUGCGUAAUACAUGGGAAUCUACCUCGAAGUGGGGAGUAACGUCCAGAAAUGGGCGCUAAUACCGCAUAAUCCAUAUUGGGAAAGCGUUGCAGCGCUUUGAGAUGAGCCCAUGGCUGAUUAGCUUGUUGGUGAGGUAACGGCUCACCAAGGCGACGAUCAGUAGCUGGUCUGAGAGGAUGAUCAGCCACACUGGAACUGAGACACGGUCCAGACUCCUACGGGAGGCAGCAGUGGGGAAUCUUGCGCAAUGGGGUCAAGCCUGCACGCAGCCAUACCGCGUGAGUGAUGAAGGUCUUCGGAUUGUAAAGGCUCUUUCGGCGGGGACCGACGAUGACGGUACCCGCAAAAUGAAGGUCACGGCUAACUUCGUGCCAGCAGCCGCGGUAAUACGAAGGUGGCGAAUGUUGCUCGGAUUCACUGGGCCGUAAAGCGUCUGUAGGUGGCUUGUUAAGUUAGA